AACUGUCUACAAGAAAGAAAAAUAAUAUUUUUCUUUUACUUUGACCUCUUGCUAUUUUGGCAAGUAACAUAAAAUAUAUUAGCCAUUCCAUCAGAUGGCUGGAGAGAAAAACUAGCUGCGAUGAGGAAAAACGAAUUAAAGGAGCAUUAAUAAAGAUUAUCUAUGAAAGAAAAUAAGGUCAAAAUUAGAACUCUGCAUUUUAAAGCCACCUUUCAAAAAUGCAAGCUGCUUUGCCCAAUGCUAAAAUCCAUUCAUUUUACUAAUCAUGCAAUCAACCAAUCUCCAUUAUCUCCAGCUAGCUAGCUAUAAACAUGCUAUAGACUGGAGUGAAAGAGGGAGAGUGUGAGGUUGAGAGACAGAGAGAGAGAGAGAGAAAGAAAGAAAAAGAGAGAGAGAGAGAGAGAGAUUACUACACCCAGCCUUUUAUAAAGCCGUUUCUUUCAUUAUAACAGGUCUUUUCAUCAAAAUGACACAGAACCUUUAAAUUUGGGCAUAAUACUCCAGUACAGUACACAGCUAUAGCUUAAAAUGGAUUUAGAACCUGCUCCAGAAAGAAAACAAACUCCCUCGUUUGACACACAAAUUGUUUACGAUUCAUUAAAAAGCAAAAUUGCAUAUCACAGUGCUGGCAGCUGAGUCCAUAUGGGUGCAAGGGGUAUUCACUCAUCUCUUUGUAUGCUGGCAGUACCAAACCGAAGUUUAGCACUGUGCAGCUGAGAUUUUGUGCAGCCAGACGAUGCAUGAGCUUUUGGAAAUCCUAUAAUCCUGGCUUCAAUCAAGAGGAUCUGCUGUUGCUGAAGGCGUAAACAAGGAGAGAAGCAGCAUGUGACCCCUGCUCCUGCACCUUCAAGGAAUCCCAAGCCAAAACGAGUGCAAUGGUAAAGCUCAUACUGGAUACUCAAGAUGACACACACAUUGCAGAUGAUCUUGCUGAACCCAGAGAAAGAAGUCCUUUACCCCAUGCAGGAAAGUUGUCUUUGGACUCUGCAUUUCCCCCUGUAGCUCUGUUGUGUGUGUUUCUCCCUGCAUCCCUCUCGCUCCUCUGAUUUUCUUCUUGCCAUCUGUAUUCCCCUUUUGCCUCAUCUGAAACAAGCAUCAAGAUCUUGUUUCUGACAGAACGGUCUGUCAAUAUGGAAACACACUGACAUCACAGACAGUGCUGUGACUUCAUGUCUGAAAGAAACAGGAGGAACAGAUGAAAAGAGUGAAGGGGAAGGAAUGACACAUACAAACAUUUUUAAAAAAUAAGUAAAAAUUCUUCUCUAUCAACCCCAAAUGUAAAGGAACAUAAACCAGAUUUUUUUUUAAGUCUAAAUAUAACCAACUAUUUCCUAAUCUGUGGCCAUAACUCAGCACAACAUUUCAACAUGCUUUUCACCCGAGAGAGGUACCUGUCCCCUAGGAGCAUGCGCUUUGCUGGCUCAAGGCCUGCGUGACAGCCAAAACACCCUCUUGAGACGGACUAAACACGGACUAUUCUGGAAAAAAGCUAAUAUCAGGCAUAAUGCUCAUACCUGGGAGAAGCCUUUAGACGGAAAGAAGGACUCCUGCCCUGGACCAAUCUAAAACAUCUAAGUAAAUGCAAAUUCAUAGAAUUAAAAGUAUCCAUCAAAACCACAAACUCAGUUUUGAUGCAGCUGGAUCAAAGGUAGCAUUACCCCACUGAGGUGGGGACACAAGACAUGCCCAGAAAAUAUUCUUACUGAGUACACGGAGGUGGAAUAUCACCGUAGUUUUUUUUUUCUUCCUAGAAUGAAAUAUUAACAAAAGUGUCUAACCAUUAUUUCUAUUACUAGGUUUUUUUGUAUAAGAAUUUGGAAGGAGUUAGAAGCCCCACGUUUUCUUUGCUAUUUGAAAUAUUUAUUUUAGUUCUAAUAUUAGAGGGCAUCCAGGAGAUAUUGCUUUCCUGCCAUCUCCAGAGCCACUGCAAAACUCUAAUAAGGAGAUUCAUAACUAGUAGGAGAGGAGCUCAAGAAAACUAAAAGGUUAAUAUAUUCUAACUAGAUGUUGGGUAUAGAAUGUCAGAUCUGUCAAAUUUCAUUACAGUUUGCUGCUCAAUGAAAAAGAUUUGAUUUCUUUUGCCACUGUCCUACUAUGUUCAAGUCACACAGUGCCAGCAGCAACCAGCCAACGACCACAGGCUGGCACUGAGCGGGCCCGAGUGGGAAGCCAGCCGCAAGGACCAUCUGUUUCCGAUUUCUAGCGAAGCCAAGAUGUGCAGUGAAGUGCAUUCCAUUCACCCAGCCAGCCUUCUCCCUGCUCAAGUUAUUAGUGUUACAAGUGAAAUUAUCUUUUCCAAACAGCGGGGGAGCUAUAAUCCUUAUGGAACAAGACUUUAAAAAAAACCAAAAAAGAAAAAAAAAAGGACAGAAAAAAGGUCCCCCAACACCCCCCCCGCUUCAAACAUCUUUUGUUAAAGUUGUUGAUGACAUUGUUUGUAAAUUCAAUUGCCAUGUUCACAGGCUUUAUAAUUUUAAAGGAUUUUUUAUUAAGAACUAUAUCCUCUAAGGGAAGAAUGUGUACGUUGGUUCACGGGAUCUAAUGUAAUAAACCAUUCAAAUAUAUUUAGAGCAUUAUUUAUGAAUAGAGUUGAAAAUGACAAGA